GUUGGAUGGCAAUAUGGAUCCAACACAGAAGAUGUACUAACUGGUAUGAAAAUUCAUUCAAGAGGUUGGAAAUCUAAAUAUUGCAACCCAGCCCCUCCAGCCUUUCUUGGGUGUGCACCAUCAGGUGGGCCAAGCACAUUGACCCAACAAAAGAGGUGGGCCAUAGGUUUGCUUGAAAUAUUGAUAUGCAAAAACAACCCCAUAUUUCACACCAUUACGGC
rnacentral:misc_RNA from 1 species